UCCCCAUCUGCACGUACCCACCGCCCCCCACCCCCGCCACAGCUGGUCAGGUGGAGGGGUCUGGGGCUGUGGGCCCAUUUCCUCUCCGCACCUGUCCUUUUGGCCCGGACUCCACUGCUGACCUAAGUGUAGGCUGGACAGGCUGGCAAAACCCCAUUUAUUAAGCCUAUAGUUAACCAGGCAAAGGUGCAUCUUUACACUUCUCCCAAAUCGUCUACUGGAAUUGGCUUUGUGGAAAUCAUUCGGAUUCUGAAUUUCUGCACGAACUUCUACCUGCACGUUAAGAAAUCCUCACUGUGACUCUCUUCUAACUUGCCAUGGCCCAGCGGGUUAGCAACCUACACUUACUUCGCCCUGAGGGAUCCUGCCUGGGAGAGCCAACUUGGGAAGGACCCUUUCCAUAAAUGAGCCAGCUAGGUGUAUUCUCUGAGAACCCGGCUCGACUGGCAGCAGAGAGAUAGAUGUAACCUUAGUGCCAAGCUCCUUGCAGGAACACAGAGACACACAGGAACCAAAAUGCAUCUCAUAGCUCUCCGUGGUGCUGAAAUCACGCUAGCAAGGAAAUCGAAGGAGCAAGUGAGCUGGACUUACCCGGCUGAGGGUGGGCGGCAGGGGAGCGAGAGGAGCUUCCUGCGAAGAGAAUUCUUGUCUGUGCGAGCUGGAACCAGCUGAUGCGCUCACCUAGAGAACCCACCUCUCUCCCUUUUCUUCCCUUCCUCCUUUUCUGGGAGGAAGAGAGGAGGCUCCACGAAAGAAAUGAAACCCAGGCUGACAGGGCUAGA